ensembl:lncRNA
AUGAGCCAUAGGGAGGAGCCAGAGGAGGCGGGUCUCAGAGGUCCUCCCCCUCAUCGCAGCAAGCAGCCCAAUGGGACGCCUCUAGAGGGAGGUCGACCCAGAUGGAGGCCAUGCCAGCUUCACAAUCCGGAUGCAGAAGGCCAAGGCCACCACCAUCAUCACCAUCACCACCAAGCCAACCUGCACACGUCUGGAUCUAGCCGAGGUCCACCACGUCAUCGUAGGCGGCAUGCUCCCGGUCAAGCACAACGCAGGCGGGCUGAGAGCGGAGAUACAGAAGCUAGAGCUGGCCAACAGCCCAAACCGGGGGCGUCAAGACACCAUCGAAGUGGAGAGAGACUCCAUCAGCACAGAUAUAGACAACAGCACAAAGAAGAAGAAGAGGGGGUCAAAAGUCCUCCAAAAGAACAAGCUUCAGAGCCAUUAUCUCCAGAAGAACCACCGACUCCUUCUCCUCAGGAUGAACUAAUCACUGAUGGACUGGAUGGAAACAGUCCAGAUCUGUCCCAUUCAUCUGAUACACAUGUUGAUCAUGAUCCAGAUCCAGAGUCUUCAAUUGAACAGUUGGAGGAGAAGGUUCAAAGUGAAGAAACAAAUUUUGGCGAAGAGGAACUGGUGAAAGAGAACCAAGAAAAUGACUAUUUCAGAGAAACUCCUGAGCAGGACUAUGCUCCUCCUAAUAUUGCUUCAAAAAGUCGAUCUGAAAGUAAAAAAACCAGUCCACUAAGAGUAGACGUUCCACCAUUCGCCACAUCUCCUCGGAAGUUGAUGAACAAACCUUUUUUCCAGUCACCACGAACCUUCCCUGAGACUCUUCGAAGCUACAAUUCGGAUCCAAACUCAUACCCUCUUCAUGUUAACAUCGGUUACGCUCAAACAAACAAGGAUAAAGAGUUUGAGAGUCCCAUGUCCCAUGUUGAAGACCAUCAAGAGGAUCAUUCAGACUCCAGUCCUGAAGCCUGCUCUGAUUCUUACCCACAACUAAGCCCAGAUUCUCUGACAGAUCCUCCUCCAGCCCUUGAGGGACCUCAAACGUACGAGAGGAACCAGAGCGUGACCACAGAGGAGUACGACCCUCAGGAAGACAUCGAUCAGCGUACUUCAGUGGGCUCCAGGCUGCACCACUACGAUGAACAGUCAGGAGAUGAAGCCGAAAGCUAA